rnacentral:lncRNA from 1 species
GGAAUUUUUUCCUUUCCUUUGUGUAGAUCUCAGCAGUGAGGAUUCUCAAGAUGGAAUCAGCUACUUGGAAGAAUCCACUUCUGGCAUCUGCAAGCCAAGAGCAGAGCUACUCAUCCAGGGAACCCCAAUUUAUCCCUGUUCUGUGCAUCUGGUGGAUAUAAAGCAGAAAAAUUCAUCGUUUGUUUUGGACGAUGAAGAGACUGAAGCAAGCACCAUCCACAAUGACGCAUCUGAGGUCAUAGGUAAGGAUGACUGAAAGCAUUGUUCCAGGUUUCCAGGCAAGGGGC